rnacentral:rRNA from 1 species
AGUGAACGCUGGCGGUAGGCCUAACACAUGCAAGUCGAACGGCAGCACAGGAGAGCUUGCUCUCUGGGUGGCGAGUGGCGGACGGGUGAGGAAUACAUCGGAAUCUACUCUGUCGUGGGGGAUAACGUAGGGAAACUUACGCUAAUACCGCAUACGACCUACGGGUGAAAGCAGGGGACCUUCGGGCCUUGCGCGAUUGAAUGAGCCGAUGUCGGAUUAGCUAGUUGGCGGGGCAAAGGCCCACCAAGGCGACGAUCCGUAGCUGGUCUGAGAGGAUGAGCAGCCACACGGGAACUGAGACACGGUCCAGACUCCUACGGGAGGCAGCAGUGGGGAAUAUUGGACAAUGGGCGCAAGCCUGAUCCAGCCAUACCGCGUGGGUGAAGAAGGCCUUCGGGUUGUAAAGCCCUUUUGUUGGGAAAGAAAGCCAGCUGGCUAAUACCGGGUUGGGAUGACGGUACCCAAAGAAUAAGCACCGGCUAACUUCGUGCCAGCCGCCGCAGUAA